CAACUAUCCACAAAAGACCAAAAUGACACAGACAUUAACAACUAUAGGUCACCGUACAGCCUUCAACAAUGAGCAAAGUCCAUACCGCAUAGUCAGCUAUAAAAGGCCCCGAUAAGACAAUGUAAAACAAUUCAAACGAGAAAACUAACGGCCUUAUUUAUGUAAAAAAAUAACCAAAAACAAAUAUGUAACACAUAAACAAACGACAACCACUGAAUUACAGGCUCCUGACUUGGGACAGGCACAUACAUAAAUAAUGUGGCGGGG
rnacentral:lncRNA from 1 species